AAAUCGCCGGUGGCCGCCUCCACUCUUGAUCGGCGCCACUCUCUCGACAUGAGAUCCAGUCCUACGUCGUAUGUGCUCUAUUUCCUUAUGGUCAUGGAGGAGAGGUGAGGUUCUCCCACGGCGAAGAACGCCAUGUCUGUGCUGGUUGGACGCUCUCCCACCGCCUCUCUUUUCUAAGGGCCCCUCUCCAUCUAGAUCCGACGAGUUCGACGCAGCGCAAGGUCGCCGUCUGCCUGUCCCCGCGAGAACCUACCUGCAGCAGGCUAGCGCCAUCCACGAGAUUGGACACAUCCUCAUCAAGGGUCUUCCUUGCAAGGCUGAAGGCUGGCCAACGUCUCCUCCCCCGGCGAGCUGCGUCGUGACUCUGCGCCAUCAUUGGCCGCUUGCGCUAGCCCAGCUCCGUGCGACCGCAGGGAGGGUUGGCAACACCUCUUCCCCUUCCGACAGAGAUGGUGAUAUUCCUCCAUCUGGUUACAUUUUUUGUGUAUAUAUAUGAACUGUUGGUUUUUACCACAAAAUGUAUUCUGUUAGACACUGAUAUUGCUGUGGGCAUAGCCAAGUUCUCUUUCAUUUCAUGAGGUGAUACCGUCUGAAAGUGCUGUUGUAGUUCUCUUUCAACUUAUUAAGUAGUUGUCCUCCAUUCUAUUUGAUUCUCGCAUCAUAUAUGAAAGGGCAUCAAUGGAAAAUUGUGCUUGUUCUUAAUACUGUUGGUUAUGUUCUAUUUUGUAGGAAAUCGAUCACAAUUGAUCUGCAGACAUGCAUCAGAAGUUUCUAGCUUUAACUGAAUCACUUUCUAGCAUCACUGAUAACUCACUUUGUAAAAAAAAACUUAGGCGAAAUAUUUGGUAAACUUGCAAAAAUACAUAUGCAGACACAUUUGGUGUGGUUGAUCUUCGUGGCAGAUCUGUCCAAAUGGCAGUAACCCAGGGAAGCUAGGUGAAAAGGCUCCUCAAAGGGAAAUAUUAGGAUGGUGGUAAUACAUUUGAAUCAUCGACUGCACCUUCUUGUAGUUAUUUGGAAUGCAUGGCUGAUGUAGUGAAAGCUCUUAACGUCGACGGAGCGUGCACUCACAUGAAAUCUUCCUUGGGUGGAAUUCGGAAAUUGGAAUGGUGGUAAUGGGCAGGAGAAUCUCUUUGUAUCAUUUUUCUCGACAUGGCAGCUGAAGUAAGGUUAUGGAACAUCUGAUUCUAGCAGUAUGCUCCAUCUGAAGAUGUUCCUUUAGUAGCUGAUUCUGCCAUAGGCAUUUUCAGCGCGGCCUUUGCUCACAUCACCUCCGUACUACCACGUAAUUCUCCCCAUCCUUCUCCACCUUGACGUGGUUGGUUAAGCGGUGCUCCUACAGGUGAGAGUGCCUACGAUCCAAUUCCUGAUAAAAUAUCAGGAGUCUUCUUUGUUGGGCCAAGUCAGGAGCAUAUAUGGAUAGUGGUCACCAUUGGAUGGGACCUUUCAAUCCGAAAUUGCUGAAAUAGUGAAGGUGAGUAUUUUAAGUUCAUAUUAUCUCAUAUCUUGCCUAUUAUGCACUGUUUCAACAAAUAACUGUCCAUUGUCAAUUACAAUCUGGAAUGCUUAUUUUUCUUCCGCAACCCUUUUGUCUAUAUGUUAAGACAUGUAUUUUGUAUACAUUUGGCUAAUUGCUAAGCCACUCUCGGGGAAAAAAUGGGAAAGGAAAUCAUCAGUUGGCCUUUUCCUUUUUAGCGGAUAUGUAUUCUUGAUUCUCUCUGCAAUGCCAAAACAGAGCAUGUCGUGGAGGUGCUAUUAAUUGAUUAAAUUUGGAUGCUUGAAAUCAUGUUACUAACCUUUUGAUUUAGAUAAUUAUAAGUUCGUCAAUUUUUCUGUUCAAAUUUUCACGAUACAAUGUGUUUUAUGUUGCCACUUAUAGUACACUUAUAGUAUUUCCUUUUGGUACUCUACCAUGGACCCUCCCUGGCAUGCAAUGCAGCAUUUUAAAUUAGAUCUCAUACGACUGAUAAAAAUCUUGUGUGCAAGUCCAACCAUGAUUAGGAGCUUUGUUGCAGUAAAAUACAUCUCAAGCAUUGAGCAUUACUGAUGAAGACCAAGCCACUACAGGGGAUGCACUUGAUCUGCCAUCUUCCUCUGUGCAUUGGAACUCCUAGACAUGUCCGAAUAUUCAAAGCCACAAAAUGGCCUUCUUCUCGCAUGACAUAUCAUUCCAAGCUAUCUCCCAAGGUUAUUAUUCUUAGCAAGCAUAUUGCAUUCUGGGUAUCCCAUCCUUUCCUUGAAAAUGUGCAGGAAUUGCUCGGAGAAGCUUGGGUCUCAUUCAAGAAGGCAGAAUAUCUUGAGAUUGUCAAUUUCUUUUAUGUCUUUUGUUACGGUCUUGAAAAUUAAUUGCAGUAUUUUGGUUCAUCUUUAUUUAUCAUUGUGUGUACAGACUGAUAAACACUUUGUACACAUAUACAUCAGUGGGUUAUAAGUUAUAAAUGAUUGUUCACGGGCUGGGUGUUUUGAGCAUGUAAUAUAAUGUCUUGGAAUGAA